rnacentral:rRNA from 1 species
UACGUAGGGGGCAAGCGUUGUCCGGAUUUAUUGGGCGUAAAGAGCGUGUAGGCGGCUUGACAGGUCUGCUGUGAAAACUCGAGCUCAACCUCGAGAUGUCGGCGGAAACCGUCUGGCUAGAGUCCGGAAGAGGAGAGUGGAAUUCCUGGUGUAAGCGGUGAAAUGCGCAGAUAUCAGGAGGAACACGGUGGUGUAAACGCUUUCUGGACCAUAACUGACGCUGAGGCACGAAAAGCGUGGGUAGCAAACAGG